rnacentral:lncRNA from 1 species
UCAGCAGCUGAAUGUUCAGCCUGUCUCAAUGUUGGGUUGUAAGUUGGACUCUCAAACACUUCUCCAUUGAAGUUCACUGAAGCCUUGAACCUUGGUGCAUGAUCAGGACCUUCUCUUAUACAUACAUAUGAUGGAAGAUUGAAGCAGCUUCUCUGUGCUAGUUCCUGUAACUGGUUCUUGAACAUAUCUGGAUUCUUAUAUUAUUGUUAUAUAACCUGCCAUUCCAGGAAAAAGCAAAAACAAAGGAAUUCAAGGGAUGAGAAAGUCGUCUUCAUUUCCAUUGAUUGGAUGCAUAGAGAGAAAGGAUUGAAACUUGGUUUCACCUACUUGAGCUGAUGAAGAAAGAAACUCUCUUUUGGUUUACAGAAAGGAGCAGUGUUGUAAGUGUUGCUUUCUCAACAUGGGAAUUGAAAGGAACAAAGGGGGGGAGAAAGAGAAUGAAAUGGGGAGCAGUGAAAAAGGUCAAAUUGAAGAUUUUUUAAGAGCAAAGUUUGAAACUUUGUUUUAUUUUAUUCUUCUUCUUGUUUUUUUCUCCCUCAUUAUCAUUGAUUUUUAAGUAUUGACCCAUCAGAAAACAG